rfam:Bacillus alcalophilus ATCC 27647 = CGMCC 1.3604 strain AV1934 contig00058, whole genome shotgun sequence.
AACUUAUCUAGAGUGGCGGAGGGAACUGACCCGAAGAAGCCCGGCAACCUAUUUGCUUGCCAAGCAAAUAAAGGUGCUACAUUCAGCAGGAUGCUAGUCAUUCUGAAAGAUAAGAA